GACGAACGCUGGCGGCGUGCUUAACACAUGCAAGUCGAACGGAAAGGCCCUGCUUGCAGGGUACUCGAGUGGCGAACGGGUGAGUAACACGUGGGUGAUCUGCCCUGCACUUCGGGAUAAGCCUGGGAAACUGGGUCUAAUACCGGAUAGGAGCCAUUUUUAGUGUGAUGGUUGGAAAGUUUUUUCGGUGUAGGAUGAGCUCGCGGCCUAUCAGCUUGUUGGUGGGGUAAUGGCCUACCAAGGCGGCGACGGGUAGCCGGCCUGAGAGGGUGGACGGCCACAUUGGGACUGAGAUACGGCCCAGACUCCUACGGGAGGCAGCAGUGGGGAAUAUUGCACAAUGGGCGCAAGCCUGAUGCAGCGACGCCGCGUGGGGGUGACGGCCUUCGGGUUGGAAACUCCUUUCGCUAGGGACGAAGCUUUUUGUGACGGUACCUAGAUAAGAAGCACCGGCUAACUACGUG
rnacentral:rRNA from 1 species